rnacentral:rRNA from 1 species
GGUCGGAGUGCAAGUGCGCACUGCCUUUCCAGUGAGGAGAAGUUUAUACUUCGAUACAGUGGGGCCCUUGGUGUACAAUGCCCGGUGACGGGUUUUGAGUAUCAGCUCUCAAAAUGCAUAGAAUUAUUGCUGCGGUUAAAAAGCUCGUAGUUGGAUCUGUGCUGAGCGACCGGUCUGCCCACUGGGCACGCACUGGCUCGCCCGGCUUUCCCUGCCGGUCUCUCUCUGACGUUGGUUUUAACCGGCUGGCGUCAGUGGGCUGGCGAGUUUACUUUGAACAAAUCAGAGUGCUUCAAACAGGCGUCUCGCCUGAAUGUUCGUGCAUGGAAUAAUAGAAGAGGAUCACGGUCCGAUUUUAUUGGUUUUGCUGACCGAGAUAAUGGUUAACAGAGACAAACGGGGCCAUUCGUAUUGCUACGUGAGAGGUGAAAUUCUUGGACCGUAGCAAGACGGACUACAGCGAAAGCAUUUGGCAAGAAUGUCUUCAUUAAUCAAGAACGAAAGUCAGAGGUUCGAAGGCGAUCAGAUACCGCCCUAGUUCUGACCGUAAACGAUGCCAACUAGCGAUCCGCCGGCGGAUUCAUUCGCCCUGGUGGGGAGCUUCCCGGAAACGAAAGUCUUCCGGUUCCGGGGGAAGUAUGGUUGCAAAGCUGAAACUUAAAGGAAUUGACGGAAGGGCACCACCAGGAGUGGAGCCUGCGGCUUAAUUUGACUCAACACGGGGAAACUCACCCGGCCCGGACACCGUAAGGAUUGACAGAUUGAUAGCUUUUUCAUGAUUCGGUGGAUGGUGGUGCAUGGCCGUUCUUAGUUCGUGGAGCGAUUUGUCUGGUUUAUUCCGAUAACGAGCGAGACUCUGGCCUACUAAAUAGUUGGCACAUUGCCACUGUGUGCACAACUUCUUAGAGGGAUUUUCGGUGUUCAGCCGCACGAAAUUGAGCAAUAACAGGUCUGUGAUGCCCUUAGAUGUCCGGGGCUGCACGCGCGCUACACUGGCAAAAUCAGCGUGCUUGUCCUCCCCCGAAAGGGGUUGGUAAACCGAUGAAAAUUUGCCGUGAUUGGGAUCGGACAUUGCAAUUAUUGUCCGUGAACGAGGAANUGGAGCCUGCGGCUUAAUUUGACUCAACACGGGGAAACUCACCCGGCCCGGACACCGUAAGGAUUGACAGAUUGAUAGCUUUUUCAUGAUUCGGUGGAUGGUGGUGCAUGGCCGUUC